rnacentral:lncRNA from 1 species
UGUGACUUCACUAUGUACAGUGUUUCAUUCAUACUAGUUGAUCAUUUUCAGAUUGUUCAUACUUUUUCUUGAGGAAGAAUAAGCUUUUUCAAGUUGAUUUCGAGCUUACUUUUUAUAUUCUGAUCUGACAAAUGAAAAUGUAAAACCUGGGUUCAAUGUAUCUGAGCUGCUUUACAGUUUUUCACUGCUAUACUACUGUCUCCAGAUUUAAAUUCUAAUGCAGAGUACUUUUAUUGGUCUGAGGCACACAGACAUCCCGCUUAAGCAGACCUCAUCCAUAGCAGUGGCUGGAGCUGUGAUUGGAGCUGUCCUGGCCCUCUUCAUCAUCGCUGUCUUUGUGACUGUGUUGCUGACACCUCGGAAAAAGAGACCAUCCUAUCUUGACAAAGUAAUCGACCUUCCACCUACACAUAAGCCACCCCCUGUAUAUGAAGAACGAAUUCCUUCUCUCCCUCAGAAAAACCGUCUGUUCCAGGUAUGUGUUCCUGAAGACACUUAAAUCACCUGAACUAGCUUCUAAACGUCUGCCCAGCUGUGGCGGCGCACAUCUACCUGAGAGGCUGGAGCAGGACCAGAAGCUUAAAGUCGGCCUUGGCUACACAGUGAGUUCGAGGCCUGCCUGGGCUACUGGAAACCCCACUGCAAAAUUUGAAGUGAAUAAAUUUUUUAAAAAUCCUA